CCUACGGGAGGCAGCAGUGAGGAAUAUUGGUCAAUGGACGAGAGUCUGAACCAGCCAAGUAGCGUGAAGGAUGACUGCCCUAUGGGUUGUAAACUUCUUUUAUAUGGGAAUAAAAUGUUCCACGUGUGGGAUUUUGUAUGUACCAUAUGAAUAAGGAUCGGCUAACUCCGUGCCAGCAGCCGCGGUAAUACGGAGGAUCCGAGCGUUAUCCGGAUUUAUUGGGUUUAAAGGGAGCGUAGGUGGAUUGUUAAGUCAGUUGUGAAAGUUUGCGGCUCAACCGUAAAAUUGCAGUUGAAACUGGCAGUCUUGAGUACAGUAGAGGUGGGCGGAAUUCGUGGUGUAGCGGUGAAAUGCUUAGAUAUCACGAAGAAUUCCGAUUGCGAAGGCAGUUCACUGGACUGCAACUGACACUGAGGCUCGAAAGUGUGGGUAUCAAACAGGAUUAGAUACCCGAGUAGUC
rnacentral:rRNA from 1 species